UCUAGGGUUGCUCAAGGUUCAUUUGGAAAGUUAUCCUAUUUUCGAAUAUUUUUCUGUACCUUAGCGUGUAUUUACCAUUUUGUCCUUCUCAUUAACUACCUUGUUUUUAUUCCUUUUUCUUGGUUUAACUUCCAUAAAUAUUUCUGGUAGUUUCUGAUAAGAUAUGGUUCUGAAAAUUUUAUUAAGGCUUUAUAAUCACAUCAGUGAGCUACUAUAAAAUUUGGGAUGCAUUG
rnacentral:lncRNA from 1 species